UACGGGGGGGGCAAGCGUUGUUCGGAAUUACUGGGCGUAAAGGGCUCGUAGGCGGCCAACUAAGUCGGACGUGAAAUCCCUCGGCUCAACCGGGGAACUGCGUCCGAUACUGGAUGGCUUGAGUUCGGGAGAGGGAUGCGGAAUUCCAGGUGUAGCGGUGAAAUGCGUAGAUAUCUGGAGGAACACCGGUGGCGAAGGCGGCAUCCUGGACCGACACUGACGCUGAGGAGCGAAAGCCAGGGGAGCAAACGGG
rnacentral:rRNA from 1 species